rnacentral:rRNA from 1 species
GACGAACGCUGGCGGCGUGCCUAAUACAUGCAAGUAGGACGCAGUUGCGAACGGGUGAGUAACGCGUAGGUAACUACCUAUUAGAGGGGGAUAACUAUUGGAAACGAUAGCUAAUACCGCAUACUAGGAGAUGGACCUGCGUUGUAUUAGCGAGUAGGUAGGGAAAUGGCCUACCUCGGCAACGGAACAUAGCCGGCGCUGGGGGGUGAUCGGCCAAACCGGGACUGGGGCACGGCCCAUACUCCCACGGGAGGCAUGAGUAGGGGAUCUUCGGCAAAGGGGGGAACCCUGACCGAGCAAAGGCGCGGUAUUGAAGAAGGUCUUCGGGUCGUAAAGCUCUGUUGUUAAGGAAGCGGUACUUAACCAGAAAGCGACGGCUAACUACGUGCCAGCAGCCGCGGUAAUAC